UGCCCGCCAAGGUAAACCGUAGAUUCGCAUCUCGAAUAGAUGAACAUGUUCUUCAAACUUCAAAGCUUGAUUCAACGCACUGGUUCUCAAAUCCCUUCGUUGUCUUUCCCUAAAUGUUGUUUCUUCUCCGAUGGAGAAAGUGUGGUUUAUCACCACGCUCGUUUGUUCAAGAAACCAUUAUCGACCAAGCUCAACUCCGUGAGCCUUAUGGGUUUCGUUGAUCGACCCAUACGAGUCAUCGACACCGGACCCGAUAUGUUCGGUGUUUUCACUAUGCUUAGAUUGAAGCACCCGCUCUAUCCUAACCGGAGCUUUAGGAUAUAUCUUAGUAUGUGGGACGCGAUGGCACAGAUGUGUAUAGCGCAUCUGAAGCCAAAUGAUCACAUACUUGUCUCAGGACGCCUUGCUUCUUACAGCAAGAGCUCCAGUGAUGAGUCUUGCGGCUUAGAUUUUGGUUACCAGGUUAAUGUGACAGAGGUGAAUUAUGCGGCGGUUCCACCAAGUAACGUCUUAGAUUCUCAGAUAUCUGAAAAACCAAUAUCAACAGCAGAAGAUGGUAUAGAAGAAUCCAAGAAUGAUGAGAUAUACUUGUGGCAAGUCUUCUUUUCGAAUCCAUAUGAGUGGUGGGACAACAGAAGAAGUAAGAAGAACCCAAGGCAACCUGACUUUAAGCAUGAAGACACAGGUGAAGCUCUCUGGCUUGGCUCAGAUUUACCGGAUUGGGUUACUAGACGACUUGAAUUGUUAGACCAGAGAAAGCGUUUCGACAAUGAGGAAAAAACACGUUGUGGCAGUCUUUCGGAGUGGCUUUAGGAUUAGGAUGAGAUGUUCUUGGGGUAUUAUUACAAGUGUGUUGCAUCAUCCUGAGAAUGAACAAAGUGAGGAACUCUAAACGGGAUUCACAGAUUGAAGAUGCUGGUUAUGAUCAUUCAACAUAUCUUUAACUUGAAUGGAAUUUUGAGAUUGCUCUACAACAAGUCUGCUACACUCAUCACAAACGUAAUAUGAUUAUACACAUCCAUGUUGGCCGCAAAAACUAGGGAUCUUUUGUACGUAACCCCUCAACAACAACACCUUUAUAGUUCUUCAUACAACUCUUGAAACAUGGCUUUUUGGGAGAACCAAUUAGAAACUGCGUCUGCUCUGCCUUCUUCAUGGCAAGAGAAAGAGCUGCCGUAGCCAAAUCCAAUGAAGAUGAUGCGGAGGGUGUUCGGUGAUCAAAGGUUAGAGAUUCGAUACAUGCUUCUUCUAGGAGUGAAAAUGACAUGGUGCCUUUACAAGCCUCUGAUAUCAACGAUAAAGGAUAUGGACAUGUCUUUGGUUUCGUUGAUAAAGGGCUAGCUAUGUUAGAUUUUGCAUUGGUGGGUAUAUGGCCACUGCGAGAGGAGAAAAAAGGUUACAAUAUAGAUUGAUAUGUAUGCACGAGAAGAGUGAAAACAAACCAUCGUCUAUUUGUUCAAUAUAGAU